UACGUAGGGUGCGAGCGUUAAUCGGAAUUACUGGGCGUAAAGUGUGCGCAGGCGGCAGAGCAAGUCGAGUGUGAAAGCCCCGGGCUUAACUUGGGAAUUGCGCUCGAAACUACUUUGCUGGAGUGUGGCAGAGGAAGGUGGAAUUCCACGUGUAGCGGUGAAAUGCGUAGAGAUGUGGAGGAACACCAAUGGCGAAGGCAGCCUUCUGGGCCAACACUGACGCUCAUGCACGAGAGCGUGGGGAGCAAACAGG
rnacentral:rRNA from 1 species